rnacentral:rRNA from 1 species
GUGAGGAAUAUUCCGCAAUGGGGGAAACCCUGACGGAGCAAUGCCGCGUGCAGGAUGAAGGCCCUCGGGUCGUAAACUGCUUUUAUAUGAGAAGAAUAUGACGGUAACAUAUGAAUAAGGGACGGCUAACUACGUGCCAGCAGCCGCGGUCAUACGUAGGUCCCAAGCGUUAUCCGGAGUGACUGGGCGUAAAGAGUUGCGUAGGCGGCUCGUUAAGCGUGAAAUGAAAUUUAUCGGCUCAACCGGUAAACUAUUUCGCGAACUGACGGGCUCGAGAGUAUGAGAGGUUACUGGAAUUUCUAGUGUAGCAGUGAAAUGCGUAGAUAUUAGAAAGAACACCAACGGCGUAGGCAGGUAACUGGCAUACAUCUGACGCUGAGGCACGAAAGCGUGGGGAGCGAACCGGAUUAGAAACCCGAGUAGUCC